GAAUUUUCAAACUGGAAGCAAAGUUAAAGCGCAGCUGCCUUCUGCGACACAUUGACCCUCCAAUUCAAGGUGACCAGGCGUUCCUUACCUGAAGGUGGAGCAGCUCUUUUCCAGAGGCAUAACAGGAGGGCGCAAGCCAGGAUUGCCCAGGCUGAGCGGAUAGUCACUCUUGUUCCUCCAUGCAAAGCUGCAGCAGCAGGAUGACUUUUCAGGACAGCUUUUCACUCCAUGCAGUAGCACUGGUUUCAAAACCCGUUCAUUAUGAACAAAUAACAGAUGCUGCAUAAGCCUUACUCUUUGCUGCUGUGCUAUAGCUUCUGGUGGCCAAGAAAAGCAAGGACAGUAAUCAGCUUCAAAGCGAUCUCCAGAGCCACAGAUGCCUCAGGCCACUUCAAGCACCACCACGGCACCGAGAUCUUCAAGGCAGGUUAUUGCAUAUACUGACAGCCCAGAGGUCGGCAUGAGUUCAUCUUCUUGGGUAAACUUGUACCCUAUUUUGUGUCCGCAGUGCUGUGCUCGGACUGUGGCAGGUACCCAGUACUAUUCUGGUACACGUGGCGCUCAGCUCACUGUAACCACUUUUCUGAUGAGUUUGGGCAGGUGGGCAUCCUUGUGGUAACCAGAAGUCCUGCAUCCACACGGUAUUAGCUGUGGCAGUGCUCCUGGACGUCUGGAAGAGAA